UGCAUGGUUUGCAGCGAGGGGAAGCUGAAAAAUCCCCGGAUUGGACCGUAAACAAGAAGCAUGAGAGAGUCCCGGAGACGGACAGAUGACAGAGGGAGGUCUGUGAGGAUCCAGCUGUGGACGGAGGAGGACAAACACCGCGACGCUGUUUCAGACGGCAAACUGUGAAACAACAUCCAGCGCUUGCUGGGGACAAUGCAAGGAGGCUACACUGAAUUGUGCAUUUAAGAGAGAAGAGGAAAAAGCACAAUACACCAUACAGAGGACUGCAGAAAGUCUGCAAAGUCUGAGGGCAUCAUCCUCCGCUGCACAGCCUUCAUCGACUAAAGUGGACAUUUCAAAUCUCCCUUUUCUUGACCACCCAGGAGAGGCGAUGGAGGAUUAAAUCACAUGCUCCGUCACGAGUGAUAACAAACUGAACCUGCCGAAAACCUCAUUCUCCAGCGCUCACCCUUAAAUGCUUUCUGGGAGCUCAAUGCAAAAGCACAAACGUCAGAAUAAAAGUCAGAAACAAUUAAUGAUUCACCAGUGAGGGGCUUGAAACAAAAGACCCAGCCACGGCCAACUGGAGGGUCUCAGACAAGCUUUUGGGAAACGCCAACUUUGAGGACACGACUGCAGCAGUGACGGAGGUGAUGGGUAACAAGAACGCCAUCCCGCCGAAAGAUGCGGACACUGGGGCAACGCAGAAGGCAGAAGGGGUGUGCAACGACAGUGUCACAGGAAGCAUCUCCAGAGAUGAACUGUCGGGCCCCAGCCCUGAGCUGCUGGCCUCCCUGCAGUCCCUCCGAGAAAACAGUGACUACACACUGCUGCCACACUCCCUG